ACUUGGAGAUGUUCUACUCGAAGGUUGAAUGCAUGAAUGGAAGGCUGGCAGUAAAAUUCAUCAAGUUGCAAUCGGGAAACACCUGAGGGGUGGGUCAGACUGGGAGGGUUCAGGUUCUCCUGUAUAAAAGGUUAGACGCACCAGGCAUUUCCAUCACAUUCGACGUCGAGAAUUCCAUUGGCAUUGUCCUGCAGCCCAUUCGUAUUCGUUCAGUACCAUCUUGCUCAAGUCAGCUUCAGCCAUUCGCAACUAUCAAUGGCCAAGAACAACGGCAAGUGCGGUGCUGACUGCGACUGCGCAGCAGGAACCUGCGCCAACGAGAACGGAGGAAAGUGCGGUGACUGUGAUUGCCCCGCAGGAACUUGCGCAAAGGAGAACGGUGGAAAGUGCGGAGACUGCGACUGCGCCGCCGGCACCUGCGCUAAGGAAUAGACUGAUGUCUGUCAUGAAGUCGCGACGUUGGGUCGGGGUCAAUAUACAGUGGGUGUACUCGCGAUAGUGCAUGACUCUUGGAAUAUGAGAUAGUUUGACUUAUCAAUCAUACAGAUAAUAUCAGCCUGGCUGUACUUGCCAUGAAUAAUACGGUGCCUUAGCAGACGCACCCUGAAUUGAAGCAUAGCAGUCGGUGCGUGCAUCGAAUCUGAGAUCAAUCAAAGUGAUGAACUGGGGAGUUUGGAUGAUCUAUCGAUCAACCACAUGCCGUUCUGAAGUACUCCCCAGUUCUGCACACAAUGAAUAUCUUUUAGUCUUUGGUAUACUCAUCUAUUCCUGGUUCAUUGAUCGAGGAUUAGGGUUGAACUUGUUCAUGUGAUAUGCACCAUAAACAUAUGACACCGCGUUCUGAAAAAUAUAGCUGCGUGCGAGAAAGCGUUAUAAACAACAUGAGCACAAACAAUUAUUCUUAA